CUGUCUUGUAUUCAUUUACAACAAAAAAACGAAUCGUCCCAUCGUUCACUUAACGGAGUCGGCUCAGAGCCGACUCGUUCGCAAACGACACAUCACUACUCUGCAGAUGGACAUAUCUCAAGGCGUAGUGACUCCCUGUGCCAGAGACCUCAGCCAGGACUGCACAAGUAUGAUCAUGCCCUCUGGUGUCUCCAGCUUCUUGCUGGAUUGUAUGGAUUCAGACUUGGAAGCAGGUGACGCACAACCAUCCAUUGAGACUUUUUGCAAAGCUGAUACUUCUGAUGAGGGAACAGGUCUGGUCAGUGAAGAUGAAAUGCUGCACUGCUGUAUCAGGAACUCAACGCUUCUCAGUUUCAGUGACGCUGUGAAUAUCGGAAUGCAGCAUCCUCCAAACCUCUCCUCCAUUCUGGAGCUGUCACCUGUUACUGAUGGACAAACUGCAAAAGGCUCAUUUUCUCUGCCCUUCCUUCAACCUGUGUCACCUCUUGGCUCCUCUGCUUUGGUUGGGCUAUGUGAUAAUUUGACAUCCCCAAAGAAUACCUCAGGAGGUAAAGGCAAAACCACUGGAGUUGAAGAAAGGACUCCUGUAACCAAGAUAACUGCAGCAUUUUCUCCUGCUGUAAAAAAAAAGCCUCUUAUAGGAAAACGUAAGCCCAUAAAAUGCAGAAAGGUGACCUUCAGUGAUGUCAACAGCACACAGGCCAUAUCAGUGCUUAAUCCUGGUUCGGUGAAACCUCAGAGAAGAGCCUAUAAUGUCCAUAAGAAUGACAUGAGAAGCAACACCAAUGAGCCUUCUUCGGAGACAGCAAGGUUUUUUGACUUUGCUGAUGAAUGCGAGAAGGAAACUUUUUUUCAAAGACUGAAGCUGACCUACACUUUUCAGUUUCCCUCUAAACCGAUUACCUUCCCAGACCGGCCGAAGACAGAGGAUGUGUGAGCCCUGUUUUGUGAUCAGCAAACCAGGACCUACCUCAGCGAGCUUGGAGGGUGAAAUCCAUUUAAAUCUACUUCAGUAUUAAGCGUAAUAACAGUUUUCAGACAUUAGAAACCACACUCAGUGUGUCACAUGGUAUGAGUCAUAUGCUACAUUAAAAAUAUAUACUUACUUAUUAUACUAUAUUUACUUGUUUACUUGAGGAGAAAAACAUUUGGUUACAGGGUAGUAAAUUUUGUUUUAUUAUGUGUCUGGUGUAAAUAAAUUAAAGAUUUUUUUUGUUCAGUGUGAGAACACCGCUAAUGCUUAGUGUACAUACAUUACAUGGUUUCAUUUUCUACAGGAGCCACUUUUAUGGUAUUUAAGUGGUAUCAUUAAUAGUGAGCACUAGGAUGGAUGGAGCAAUGAAUGAGUGCAGAGUAGUGAAUGGAUUUUGCAGAGAAGCUUCCGAGCAUAAGUGCUGAAUACAGAGACACAUUUGCAGGUCACGCUCUGCUCCCCAUUCUGCAGAGACGGAUCAGGUCAAUGUAGUUGUUACUCAAACACAAAAUUAGUUUACAGUUAUUCAAAGAUAAAUAAGCAAAAGCUAAACCAUUCAAGAAAAUGUACUGAUGGACGUAUUGACAUUCAUAAUGCUUUGUGAAGGUUAAUUAUGUUUAGUGAUUGAUAUAU
ensembl:lncRNA